rnacentral:rRNA from 1 species
GACGAACGCUGGCGGCGUGCUUAACACAUGCAAGUCGAACGAAGUGGCGGACGGGUGAGUAACGCGUAAUCAACCUGCCCUUCAGUGGGGGACAACAGUUGGAAACGACUACUAAUACCGCCUACUGAAGUGGGGGAUUGCGUCUGAUUAGCUAGUUGGAGGGGUAACGGCCCCCCAAGGCGAUGAUCAGUAGCCGGUCGUAGAGGAUGAACGGCCAGAGUGGGACUGAGACACGGCUCAGACGCCUAAGGGAGGUAGCAGUGGGGAAUCUUCCGAGAUGGACGAAAGUCUGACGGAGCAACGCCGCGGUAGCGAUGACGGCCUUCGGGGUGUAAAGCUCUGUUAAUCGGGACGCGGUACCGGAAUAGAAAGCCACGGCUAACUACGUGCCAGCAGCCGCGGUAAUUC